UUUUCACGUGAAAACUCGUUCCUACUUCUCAAAGUCAUAAACCACCGCUUGCUUCUCGCUGCUCUCUGUCGUUGGCUUUCCACCACUGGUUGCGGCUGACAACAAUUGUCCUCUACUCUCCGGUUGUCUUUCUCAUUAAGGGGCAAGAUCUGUGAGGGCUAGUUCUCUUCAAUCCAUAUUCAUUUUUGUAUGCCCUCCAUCAAUGGAAGAGUUGGAGAAGUGUCAUCAUGAAAUCAUCAACUCAUUCAGUGCAACUGGAUCAUUGCUUGUGGACUCAUACCAAAUAUUCAUAUCAUGGUGAGUGUGAGCUCUUAUUUAACUUCUAAGUUCAAUUAUGAUAGAAGAGUUCUAGUUAUAUGUAAAGGAAGAAAUUAAUUUGAUGAGAUUUUCAUUUCAAUGUUGAUAUAAAUGAAUUGCACUGUCUGCGUUUGAGUUUGCAAAUAAGCUCUCCUAGAGCUAAGGGUUUUUAAACAAAGUCUGGAAAUUCUAAAUCAGUUAGUAUUUGAAACUUAAGGUCCUUAAUUAUCAUGUUUUUCCUAAAAGUUACUAGUAUAUUUGUAAACUAGUAUGUAUGUCCCAAAGACUGUUCUUUAAUGUUUAUAUGACAAUGACACGUGGAGUUUGACAAUAGGGAAAUGUAUGAUUCAAGCAUUGUCACAUAGACAUCCUUAUAAUUUGGGGAUUGAAAUAUGUAU